CCAGCCCUGCCCUGACCCUGCAGCUCUGGCAGAGGAGCCCAGCCCUGGAUUCCCAAGUCCUCCCACUCAGUGAUUUGCACUGAACACAGAACACUCACCAUGGACUUGAGGCUCCGUUCAUUUUUCCUGCUCUUCAUUUUAAAAGGUGUCCAGUGUGAGGUGCAGCUGGUGGAGUCUGGGGGAGGCCUAGUGCAGCCUGAAAAGUCCCUGAAACUCUCCUGUGCAGCCUCUGGAUUCACUUUCAGUAGCUAUGAAAUGAACUGGGUCCGCCAGGCUCCAGGGAAGGGACUGGAGUGGGUCGCAUACAUUAGUAGUGGUGGGGGUACCAUCUACUAUGCCGAUGCCGUGAAGGGCCGAUUCACCAUCUCCAGAGACAAUGCCAAGAACACCCUGUACCUGGAAAUGAGCAGUCUGAAAUCUGAAGACACAGCCACGUAUUAUUGUGCCAGAAGCACAGUGAUACAAAUUUCCUGUGGACUCAGACACAAACCUCCCUGCAGUGUGCCAGGACCAGCAGGGGCGCUGCUAGAACAGAGAGUGUGGGUCUUGGAUGAGUCUGUUCAGAGAGGCAUUAAGAGCUGGCCUCUGUUUCUUGGCUGCUUCUCCAUAUCACACUCAAGGAUUCUUUUUAAAGGUAUAGUGUGUACUAAUCCUUGA